UAGGGAAUCUUCGGCAAUGGACGAAAGUCUGACCGAGCAACGCCGCGUGAGUGAAGAAGGUUUUCGGAUCGUAAAACUCUGUUGUUAGAGAAGAACAAGGAUGAGAGUAGAAUGUUCAUCCCUUGACGGUAUCUAACCAGAAAGCCACGGCUAACUACGUGCCAGCAGCCGCGGUAAUACGUAGGUGGCAAGCGUUGUCCGGAUUUAUUGGGCGUAAAGCGAGCGCAGGCGGUUUCUUAAGUCUGAUGUGAAAGCCCCCGGCUCAACCGGGGGGGGUCAUUGGAAACUGGGAAACUUGAGUGCAGAAGAGGAGAGUGGAAUUCCAUGUGUAGCGGUGAAAUGCGUAGAUAUAUGGAGGAACACCAGUGGCGAAGGCGGCUCUCUGGUCUGUAACUGACGCUGAGGCUCGAAAGCGUGGGGAGCAAACAGG
rnacentral:rRNA from 1 species